AAAACAUCAAAUUCGGGUGUAACCUGCACCCCAACAAGAUCUGUGGAUCUCACUUGGAUUUCAGAUAGUGGUAGACAUUGAAAUUGUUGCAAAGAAUCAAGUUGCACUGAUCAUCAAUUAUGCUGCUUUAAUCACCAGGCUGGCUCCAACUUUGAUGGCAUUCCAGAAGAGCCCAAAGAUGUGACUUUGCCAUCUGGCCUGGGAUUCAGAGAGGGGUUUGGAGAGCAUAAAACAGCUAUAUGGUUCUUGAAUGGCCUGCUCUCCAGGAGACUGCAUUGUGUGGCUUUUAAUUCUUUCAAUGUUUUUAAUGUUUGUAGCAUUUGUAUGGAUGUUUCAUUUUUUUAAAAAAACAACACAUUCUUUGUUUUACUUGUAAGGCAACCUGCGUCACGAAUGUGA